GACGAACGCUGGCGGCAUGCCUAAUACGUGCAAGUCGAGCGAACAGAUGAAGUGCUUGCACUUCUGACGUUAGCGGCGAACGGGUGAGUAACACGUAAGGAAUCUACCUAUAAGCGGGGGAUAACAUUCGGAAACGGGUGCUAAUACCGCAUAAUAUCUUCUUCCGCAUGGAAGAAGAUUGAAAGACGGCUCUGCUGUCACUUAUAGAUGACCUUGCGGUGCAUUAGCUAGUUGGUGGGGUAACGGCCUACCAAGACGAUGAUGCAUAGCCGACCUGAGAGGGUGAUCGGCCACAUUGGGACUGAGACACGGCCCAAACUCCUACGGGAGGCAGCAGUAGGGAAUCUUCCGCAAUGGGCGAAAGCCUGACGGAGCAAUGCCGCGUGAGUGAAGAAGGCCUUCGGGUCGUAAAACUCUGUUAUAAGAGAAGAACAAAUUGUAGAGUAACUGCUACAGUCUUGACGGUAUCUUAUCAGAAAGCCACGGCUAACUACGUGCCAGCCGCCGCGGUAA
rnacentral:rRNA from 1 species